GGUUAAGCGACUAAGCGUACACGGUGGAUGCCCUGGCAGUCAGAGGCGAUGAAGGACGUGCUAAUCUGCGAUAAGCGUCGGUAAGGUGAUAUGAACCGUUAUAACCGGCGAUUUCCGAAUGGGGAAACCCAGUGUGUUUCGACACACUAUCAUUAACUGAAUCCAUAGGUUAAUGAGGCGAACCGGGGGAACUGAAACAUCUAAGUACCCCGAGGAAAAGAAAUCAACCGAGAUUCCCCCAGUAGCGGCGAGCGAACGGGGAGCAGCCCAGAGCCUGAAUCAGUGUGUGUGUUAGUGGAAGCGUCUGGAAAGGCGCGCGAUACAGGGUGACAGCCCCGUACACAAAAAUGCACAUACUGUGAGCUCGAUGAGUAGGGCGGGACACGUGGUAUCCUGUCUGAAUAUGGGGGGACCAUCCUCCAAGGCUAAAUACUCCUGACUGACCGAUAGUGAACCAGUACCGUGAGGGAAAGGCGAAAAGAACCCCGGCGAGGGGAGUGAAAAAGAACCUGAAACCGUGUACGUACAAGCAGUGGGAGCACGCUUCGGCGUGUGACUGCGUACCUUUUGUAUAAUGGGUCAGCGACUUAUAUUCUGUAGCAAGGUUAACCGAAUAGGGGAGCCGAAGGGAAACCGAGUCUUAACUGGGCGUUAAGUUGCAGGGUAUAGACCCGAAACCCGGUGAUCUAGCCAUGGGCAGGUUGAAGGUUGGGUAACACUAACUGGAGGACCGAACCGACUAAUGUUGAAAAAUUAGCGGAUGACUUGUGGCUGGGGGUGAAAGGCCAAUCAAACCGGGAGAUAGCUGGUUCUCCCCGAAAGCUAUUUAGGUAGCGCCUCGUGAAUUCAUCUCCG
rnacentral:rRNA from 1 species